AUUAUAUAUAAAUUUUUUUGUUUAGUAAUAAAAUACAAUUACCAAUAAAAUACUGUAUUUUGUUGUCACAUUUUCUAAUGACAAUGUUUUGAAAAAAUUGACUGUUCCAUUAAACUAUUGUAGACAAGGUAAAUGAAAACGCUGUUUAUUUGCCACCUCAUUUUGAUUUUUUUAAAUAUUGCUUUAUUGUAUUUUUUAGAUUAUUUGACUGAAAUCGAUUGGUGGCAAUACGCCAGCAUAAAUUAAAACCAAUGCGAAACAAUUUCCAAAAAUGGUUCAAGCUAAGUUUAGCAAAUUGGGAAAAAAUUGAAAUUUACUGCUUAAGGCGACCUACUUGUGCAAGACUCUGCUUGAUGCUCUGACGACGGAAAGAAUAUCAAAAUAAAAUGUAGAUUGAUUAAUAGGAGAACAUUUAAAGAGAGAUCUCAGUGCUGAAGAUAAAAAAACAUUCAUUUUUGUAAAUUGCAUUAACAUUAAAUUUGUGUUUUAAA